GUCCCCCUCUAUCAGAAAAGGUUCUCUCUCUCUUCUCUCUCUUUCUCUCCCGUAUUCUCUCUUCCUCUGCAACGCCAUGAACGAACAUCAAAGCUCAUAGAUCGAGCUUGAAACCAACCCCAUUUUACUCCUCUCAUCCUCACGAACACAACCAUACCAACCAAACCAAGAAUGGACGAGUUUUGACUCGCCAAUUCGGAAGGUCCAAACUCGGACGAGUUGAGUUCGACGUGUUUUCAACCGAGUCACGAUGUUUUAGGACUCAGGAAAGUCUCUACGCAACUCCCUAGGGUCCCUAGUCAAGGUUUGAGGAAGCUUUGACGUGAAACAACUCGGUUUCGAGAAGUUCAAGUUUGACCUGUGCCUUUCGAGCCAAUUGCCGGCCAAACCACGGUGAUUUGGCCGGCAUACAAGUUUCCGGCGAGUCCGACGGCUUUCGAGGCGUUUUCCGGCAAAACCACUGAGAGUUAGAUGUUGUACAAGGUUGCGUGGCUCGUCAGCGGCGAAGUAUCUGUUUAGUAGCGGUGUUUACGCGUAUACGAGGAUUCUAGCAAAUCUCAGGAGAUGGUUACGUUCAGUGGUGUAACCCUCAACUUAUUACUAUACUGUCUUCUGCUCUGACAUCACGUGUGAAUAGGGUUCAAACCCGCUCAUCUGCACACUCUCUUGAUUAGGCACUUUAGGUUUAAAUUUACCCAUACCUUCCGCAUCACUACACUUUAUGGUUUCGUCACCCUUCAGGUGUCGGCCAGCACAACUCGAUUUAGAAUCCAAGUGGACAUUCCGGGUCGGGGUGUGUCAUCACUAACAUUGGGGUUGAUAUUCUAUUGCUAUUUCAAGCAUGCCAUCAACAGAGAAUUCCUUUUGAAUUCCACUGGUUGAAUAUAAUGUCGUCCUCUAAUUUAGCUAAAGAGUGACCUAAAAAGUUUAUCUUUCCAAAUUAAAUGCAAAUGUAGCUAACAUCUUUCUAAGAAACUUGGUUUUCUUUGUAAAUUACUAGCACUACCUUUUCGUUAAUACGGCCAAAUGGUAAAAAGAUUGUAUGUACGAAUCAACUAGUUUAAUGAAGUCUUGCAACAAAAAUGCUAUAUUCUACCUCGAUUUUUUGCAGCAAAAAACACUUCAAUUACGCUCUUUCAUAAAUCAAUGGUGAUAGUUUUUAUAAUAUUCUUUUGCUAUUAUGAGCAUGACAUCAACAAAGGAUUUCUUUGUUUUUCGUAUUCAAUGUCACGUUUAUCUUCAAAUUUGAGAAAAAUGAAAGUCAUAUAUGUUGUCUUUUUUUUGAGGAAUUUAUAUCAUCCAUUUGCCUUUAUAUUAAAGGUAAUUUAGGUUAAUAUAAAAUAACUUUUUUUUUAAUAAUUAUGACCCUAUCUUACUUAGUACUAGGUAUUCAUCCUCACUUGUAAAUAAGAAAUCUUAGAUUUAAUUAUUUGAUUAUUUGAAGAUUUGAUAAUAUUUUUAGAAUCAAUAUUUAAUGAUAACAUGUGAUGCCGAAAGAGAUUAGACACACUAUUUGAAUGGAAGUGAUUAUAAGGACUGCAGCAACCACAACAAUAAAAAGUACAGAGCAUGGAGAUUGAGAGAGUAUUGUUUCAACAUUGCCUUCCACUUCUGCGUUAUGCAUCGAUGUCUUUACUAAGAUCAGUUAAGAGAUUUCUUCGGAACAAUUACUUCCUCGGAUUAAUAAGGUUUGUUAACCUUGUCCCUGUCAAGCUUUGAGUUUCAACAAUUACAUUUUUGAACAAGCAAUUCCAUAUCCUUGCGAGUGAUGCUUAAGGCUACAUUUUAAUGGAAAUGUUCACUUGGUGUGGCCAAAAAACAACAAACAUGAUACAAUUUCUCUUCUUUUUCUUCAAACAUACAAAGACAUAAGAAUAGGUCCAU